rnacentral:rRNA from 1 species
AGUGAACGCUGGCGGCGUGCUUAACACAUGCAAGUCGAACGAGAACGGGAUAUAGCUUGCUAUAUUUGUCAGCUAAGUGGCGCACGGGUGAGUAAUGUAUAGAUAACAUGCCCUCUAGAAAGGAAUAACAGUUGGAAACGACUGCUAAUGCCCUAUAUGCCUUUAAUACAGAAGUAUGUAAGGGAAACGCUUUAGUGCUAGAGGAUGGGUCUGUAUGGUAUCAGCUUGUUGGUGAGGUAAUGGAUCACCAAGGCUAUGGCGCCUAACUGGUUUGAGAGGAUGAUCAGUCACACUGGAACUGAGACACGGUCCAGACUCCUACGGGAGGCAGCAGUGGGGAAUAUUGCACAAUGGACGAAAGUCUGAUGCAGCAACGCCGCGUGGAGGAUGACACAUUUCGGUGCGUAAACUCCUUUUAUAUAGGAAGAUAAUGACGGUACUAUAUGAAUAAGCACCGGCUAACUCCGUGCCAGCCGCCGCCGUAA